AUUGAACGCUGGCGGCAUGCCUUACACAUGCAAGUCGAACGGUAACGCGGGGCAACCUGGCGACGAGUGGCGAACGGGUGAGUAAUGCAUCGGAACGUGCCCAGUAGUGGGGGAUAGCCCGGCGAAAGCCGGAUUAAUACCGCACACGACCUACGGGUGAAAGCGGGGGACCGUAAGGCCUCGCGCUAUUGGAGCGGCCGAUGUCAGAUUAGGUUGUUGGUGGGGUAAAAGCCUACCAAGCCGACGAUCUGUAGCUGGUCUGAGAGGACGACCAGCCAAACUGGGACUGAGACACGGCCCAGACUCCUACGGGAGGCAGCAGUGGGGAAUUUUGGACAAUGGGGGCAACCCUGAUCCAGCCAUGCCGCGUGCGGGAAGAAGGCCUUCGGGUUGUAACCGCUUUUGUCUGGGAAGAAACGCUCUGGGCUAAUACCCCGGGGUAAUGACGGUACCUGAAGAAUAAGCACCGGCUAACUACGUGCCAGCAGCCGCGGUAACAC
rnacentral:rRNA from 1 species